AAGAUAACAGAAAAAAAAUUCUGACUUUGAGAGCUAUAUAAAAGUUUCUAUUUUUUUUCUAUGUUACAGUUGCAGCAAAUACACAGCAAAUAGGAGGAAAUCUCUCUUUGAUCUGUGUGCUUACUUGUGCUGAAAAAUGUGAAGAAAACUUCAAUUUAACUUGGUCUGGAAGCAACCAAGAGCGUUGGAAAGGCAGAUUAUUUAAUGUUAACAACACAUUGAUCAAUGAGCUUCUUCUCCCAGUUUGGCCAGUUAGCUCUGAUGCAGUAACCUGCUCUGUGUACAGAGAAGGUUCAAAGAUGGCAUCAAAAAGUUUGAGCAAAUCUCUGCAGGUCUCCUGGGUCUUAGCCCUUCGUCUUGGCCUUAUAAUAGGUGUAGCUGCCGUUGGAUUUUGCAUCUACAUGAAGUGGAAACACUGCAAUAAUGCAGUGUGUCAGAACUGGAAGACCUUGCAAAUCAACUAGGAAUGUUCACAUGUGCUCACAUCAGUUUGCUUCUUCGAUGAGCCAUGAGGAAACACAGCAAGGAAAAAGAAUCACAAGAGACAGAAGACAAAUUUACAGAGAACCACUCAUUGCUGAUGUUCUACAGUUUGUAAAAGGUCAUAAUAGCAGUGGGAAAUAAACAAUAUUUUGUGUUUAAUUCA